rnacentral:rRNA from 1 species
GUACGAAGGGGGCUAGCGUUGCUCGGAAUUACUGGGCGUAAAGCGCGUGUAGGCGGCUUUUGCAAAGUCGGGGUGUGAAAGCCCUCAGCUCAACUGAGGAAGUGCGCCCGAAACUGCAGAGCUUGAGUACCGGAGAGGGUGGCGGAAUUCCCCAAAGUAGAGGUGAAAUUCGUAGAUAUGGGGAGGAACACCGGUGGCGAAGGCGGCCACCUGGACGGUCACUGACGCUGAGACGCGAAAGCGUGGGGGAGCAAACAGA